ACUGUUGAAAGUUUAGUCAUAGUUUUCUGUUGGCAGUUGACCUAGUCUUUAGGAGUUUUAAUUCUUUUUAAUUGCAGCAGUUUGCAGGUUGUUUGAUUUUUAGGAAUUAGUGGAGUAAAGAGUUAUGCUUGCUUUAGGAGUCAUGUGCUCUAUUUUUUUGGAGUAAGUUGAUAAUAGGACUGAUAUGUGUCCUGUUUAAAUGGAUUAUCUAUUAAGUAUUUGCCUAUAUAUAGGCUUGAAGUUAUGAAUAAAAUGACCAAGUUCUCCAGCAAAUUAUUUUCUCUUCUUACGUAUUUUUUGUUUUUCUCCUUCUAAAUUCUCUAUCAGUGGUAUCAGAGCCAGAUUAUCCUGAGAGUGACAACAAGUGAGGCAGCCACAUAUUUCUUUUCAGAUUAUCUCAUGGCUACUGAAAAUAAUUUUGUGCAAGCAGCAAUUCCUCACUUUGAUGGUCACUAUGACCAUUGGAGCAUGUUGAUGGAAAACUUCUUACGGUUAAAAGAGUAUUGGCCAAUCAUUUAGGACGGCAUUGGCACUCCGAUGGAAGGCGAAGUUUUGACAAAAGCUCAAAAGGCAGAGUUGGAAGCGAAAAAGCUAAAAGAUCUGAAAGCGAAGAAUUAUCUCUUUUAGGCAAUUCAUCGUCCCAUCUUGGAAACUAUUCUUUGCAAAGAAAAUUCCAAGGAUAUUUGGGAUUCCAUGAAGAAGAAGUAUCAAGGCUCAAGCAGGGUGAAGUGCGCACAACUUCAAGCUUUGAGAAAUGAUUUUGAAACAAUGGAUAUGAAGGAAGGAGAAUCUGUCACAAACUAUUGUGCUAAAACCAUGGAAAUAACCAAUAAGAUGCGAUUCCACGGUGAGAAGAUAAAUGAUGUAGCCAUUGUGGAGAAAAUUUUACGACCUCUUACAUCAAAAUACAAUUAUAUUGUCUGCUCAAUCGAAGAAUCAAAGGAUAUAGAUGAACUAUCUCUUGAUGAACUGCAAAGUUCUUUACUAGUUCAUGAACAGAAGAUGAACAGAAGUUUUGGAGCACAGGAGCAUGCAUUGAAGGCUUCUACUAAUACUUAUUCCAGCAACUAUAGAGGAAGAGGUAGAGGUAGAGGCCGAGGAAGAGGAAGAGAAAGAGGAGGAGGAGAUCGUGGAGAAAGAAAUUUCAUUAGAAGUUUCAAAACCAACACUGAUCAGUCUCAAGGCAGAGGUCGAAACCAUGACAAAUCCAAGGUAGAGUGUUACAGAUGUCACAAAUUUGGUCACUAUGCAUCAGAUUGUUACACUAGACUUCCUAAUGACAAAGAAAGAGAUGAAAGUGCCAAUUUUGUCGAAAAUAAGGAAGUAGAAACAUUGUUAAUGGCUAUCCAUGCUAGAACAGAACAUGAAUCUGAUAUUUGGUAUGUAGAUACUGGAUGCAGUAAUCACAUGUGCGGAAGCAAAUUUUCUUUUUCAUCUUUGGAUGAAAAGUUUCGUUCUACUGUGGCUUUUAGUGAUUGUUCAACUGUAAAAGUGAUGGGGAAAGGUGACAUCAAGAUUAAAACCAAGAAUGGUUUUGUGGAAACAAUUUCUAAUGUGUUGUAUGUUCCUGACUUGAAAAGUAAUUUACUUAGUGUUGGUCAGUUGUAAGAAAAAGGUUAUGUCAUCACUAUCAAGAAGUGAGAGUGUGAAAUUUAUGAUACUGAGAGAGGAGCUAUUGCACUAGUUCAAAUGAGCUCCAACAGAUUAUUUCUACUGAGGAUUGAUAGCAUUCAAUCUUGUUUGAUGGCUGAAGUAAAUGAUUCAUCAUGGCUGUGGCACUUCCGAUAUGGUCACUUGAGUUUUGGAGGCUUGAAGACACUCCAACAGAAAAACAUGGUCAGUGGUCUUCUUUAAAUUACAACACCUUCCAAAAUUUGUGAAGAAUGUGUUGUUGGCAAACAACCUCGCUCUCAAUUUCCCAAAGGAAAGUCAUGGAGAGCAAAGGAUGUUCUUGAGCUGGUACAUUCAGAUCUUUGUGGUCCGAUAAACCCAACGUCUAAUGGAGGUAAACGGUAUUUAAUCACUUUUACAGAUGAUUUUUCAAGAAAAACAUGGGCUUAUUCUAUGGAAGAAAAAUCUGAAGUUUUUUCAACAUUUAAAAGCUUCAAAGUACGUGUGGAAAAUGAAGCAGGAAAAACCAUUAAGGCUCUUCGAACUGAUCGUGGUGGUGAAUAUUGCUCAAAAGAAUUUGAAGUAUUCUGUGCAGAUCAUGGCAUUCGGAGAGAGCUUACAACUGCAUAUACACCACAGCAAAAGGGUGUGUUAGAAAGGAAGAACAGAACCAUCCUCAACAUGGUAAGAAGUAUGCUAUUGAGAGGAAGCAUUCCAAAAAUUUUCUGGCCAGAGUCAGUAAAUUGGAGUGUUCAUCUUUUAAACAGAAGCCCAACUUUUUCUGUUAAAAAUAUGACACCGGAGGAGGCAUGGAAUGGGAGAAAACCAACAGUAGAUCAUUUUAGAAUCUUUGGAUGCAUUGCAUAUGCCCAUGUGACGGAUGAAAGAAGGAAGAAACUUGACAAUAAGGCUGAAAAAUGUAUUUUUCUUAGUGUAAGUGAGUCUUCCAAAGCAUAUAAGUUGUUUAAUCUAUUGACUAAAAAGAUUGUUGUUAGCAGGGAUGUUACUUUUGAUGAGGAAAACAUUUGGGAAUGGAAUAGGCAGGCUAGUGACGCAAAACAAGAGCAAUUUUCAACACCUUGUACGUUUGAAAAUUUAUCAGAUUCAGCCCCUAUAACUCCACCACCAGAUGCUGUAGCAAAUGAAGAAACAACUCAAACUCUUGGGCGUGUUAGAAGAAGGCCUGUUUGGAUGAAGGAUUACAAGGUAACUGGAAUUGAAGAUCCAAUUACUCACUUUGCUUUGUUUUGAGAUUGCGAUCCUACAUGUUUUGAGAGUGCUGUAAAGGAAGAAAAUUGGAGAAAAGCAAUGGAUGAUGAAAUUGAUGCCAUCAAACGAAAUGAUACUUGGGAGUUGUCUGAUCUUCCAAAGGGACAGAAAACCAUUGGACUGAAGUGGGUGUUCAAAACAAAGUUGAAGGAAAAUGGCAAAGUUGAUAGGUACAAGGCACGUUUAGUGGCCAAGGGGUAUAAGCAACAAUAUGGGAUCGAUUAUACAGAAGUAUUUUCUCCUGUUUCUAGGCAUGAUACAAUUAGAUUGGUUAUCGCAUUGGAAGCUCAGAAUUCUUGGCCUAUUUUCCAGCUAGAUGCCAAGUCGGCGUUCUUACACGGACACUUGAAGGAACAUGCAUUUGUUGAACAACCCCCUGGUUAUGUUGAAAUUGGAAAUGAGCAUAAGGUUUAUAGAUUAAAAAAGGCCCUCUAUGGUCUAAAACAAGCUCCUCGAGCUUGGUAUAGUCGCAUUGAGGGCUAUUUUCUAAAAGUUGGUUUUUCGAAAUGUCCUUAUGAGCAUACACUUUUUGUUAAGAUUGGGGAUGAAGGAAAAAUGCUCAUUAUCUGCUUGUAUGUUGAUGAUCUCAUUUUUACUGGAAAUUGUGGUGCCAUGUUUGAGGAAUUCAAGAAGUCACUGAUGAAUGAGUUUGAAAUGUCCGACCUCGGAUUGAUGCAUUACUUUCUUGGCAUAGAGGUAGUGCAAUCUGGGAAAGGGAUCUUCAUUUCUCAGAAGAAGUAUAUAAAGGAAAUUCUAGAAAGAUUUCAGAUGAUGGAAUGCAAUCCAGUUAACACUCCUGUUGAACUUGGUUUGAAGCUUCACAAAGAUCCUACUGGAAAGAAAGUUGACAGCACACUUUACAAACAAAUCGUAGGCAGUUUGAUGUAUCUCACUGCUACAAGGCCUGACAUAAUGUACUUUGUGAGUUUAAUCAACAGGUACAUGGAGAAUCCCACAGAAAUGCACUUGCUGGCAGCCAAGAGAAUUCUCCGUUACUUGAAAGGAACGAGAGACUUUGGACUAGCUUAUAAGAAGAGUGAAAAGCCCAAUCUUCUUGGGUAUACGGAUAAUGAUUAUGCUGGUGAUCGCGAUGACAGGAAAAGCACUUCAGGCUAUGCUUUUAUGUUCGGGUCCGGUGCUAUUUCAUGGUCGGCUAAGAAGCAACCAAUUGUCACUUUGUCUACUACAGAAGCCGAGUUUGUUGCUGCGACUGCUUGUGCUUGUCAAGCUAUUUGGUUGAGGAGACUUUUGGAGGAGUUAAAAUUCAAGCAAGCAAAAGCCACUAAGAUUUUUUGUGACAAUAAUUCAGCAAUUCAGCUAUCCAAGAAUCCGGUGCUACAUGGAAGAAGCAAGCACAUUGAUGUGAAGUUUUAUUUCUUAAGAGAUCUUAGCAAUAAUGGAACAAUUGAUCUGAUUUACUGCAGGAGCGAAGAUCAAGUUACCGAUAUUUUCACCAAGGCUUUGAAGACGGAGUCAUUCAUGAAAUUUAGAAGGUUGCUAGGUGUAUGUACAAUCAAAGACGUAAACUGACUGUUAGCAAACAUCAGUUUAAGGGGGAACUGUUGAAAGUUUAGUCAUAGUUUUCUGUUGGCAGUUGACCUAGUCUUUAGGAGUUUUAAUUCUUUUUAAUUAUAGCAGUUUGCAGGUUGUUUUGAUUUUUAGGAAUUAGUGGAGUAAAGAGUUAUGCUUGCUUUAGGAGUCAUGUGCUCUAUUUUUUUGGAGUAAGUUGAUAAUAGGACUGAUAUGUGUCCUGUUUAAAUGGAUUAUCUGUUAAGUAUUUGCCUAUAUAUAGGCUUGAAGUUAUGAAUAAAAUGACCAAGUUCUCCAG
rnacentral:lncRNA from 1 species